rnacentral:tRNA from 1 species
GGGCCUGUAGCUCAGUUGGUUAGAGCUGGGUGCUCAUAACGCCUAGGUCGGGGGUUCAAGUCCCUCCGGGCCCACCA